CUACGGGAGGCUGCAGUGGGGAAUAUUGGACAAUGGGGGAAACCCUGAUCCAGCAAUGCCGCGUGUGUGAAGAAGGCCUGCGGGUUGUAAAGCACUUUCGGUUGGGAGGACUGCUUCUAGCACUAAUAUUGUUGGAAGUUGACGUUACCUUCAGAAGAAGCACCGGCUAACUCCGUGCCAGCAGCCGCGGUAAUACGGAGGGUGCAUGCGUUAAUCUGAAUUACUGGGCGUAAAGCGCGCGUAGGCGGCUAGAUCAGUCGGGUGUGAAAGCCCCGGGCUUAACCGUGGAACUGCAUCCGAUAGGGAGUGGUGCGCGUGGAGGGGAGGUGGGGGGCCGUGCACGGGGAGCGGGGAGCUGCGUAGAUGUGUGGAGGAACGGGAAGGGCGAAGGCAGCACCCAGGCCUGUUACUGACGCUGGGUUUCGAAAGCGUGUAGAGCAAACAGGCUUAGAUACCCUCGUAGUC
rnacentral:rRNA from 1 species